GCAUGCGCCACCACUGGACCUCAAGGGCUUGCAUUGAUAUGUCCCCUCCUUCCAGGCCAGAGGUAAAAAGGGGGCAUAAAGCUUUUUUCAUUUUUUUGGAACCCUGACACACACUACACCACCUCAGACAUUGCACCCCUCUCACACACACACACUCAGAUCCCCUCACACACACACACACACAGCACCCCUCACACACACUACAUGCACCCACACACUGUGCCUGUCAC